rnacentral:other from 1 species
GAAAUCCUGGGGUGUUCGGGACCCCUACUAUUUUGAUCCUACAUUAUUAUUAAGGGAUUCCUAUAUUCUGAUUGGAUGACAGGCCAUCAUAGCAGUGGAAGCCAGAAGAUCAGAUGCGGUUGCCCACCUAGCAGCGCUAGGUAUCAAAAUUGUAGAUAACGGCAUUUUGGGUCAAAU